AGAGUUUGAUCCUGGCUCAGGAUGAACGCUGGCGGUAUGCUUAACACAUGCAAGUCGAACGGUGUCUUCGGACACAGUGGCGGACGGGUGAGUAACGCGUGAGAAUCUGGCUUCAGGUCUGGGACAACCACUGGAAACGGUGGCUAAUACCGGAUGUGCCCCUUGGGGUGAAAGAUUAAUUGCCUGAAGAUGAGCUCGCGUCUGAUUAGCUAGUAGGUGUGGUAAAGGCGCACCUAGGCGACGAUCAGUAGCUGGUCUGAGAGGACGAUCAGCCACACUGGGACUGAGACACGGCCCAGACUCCUACGGGAGGCAGCAGUGGGGAAUUUUCCGCAAUGGGCGAAAGCCUGACGGAGCAAUACCGCGUGAGGGAGGAAGGCUCUUGGGUCGUAAACCUCUUUUCUCAGGGAAGAACACAAUGACGGUACCUGAGGAAUAAGCAUCGGCUAACUCCGUGCCAGCAGCCGCGGUAAUACGGAGGAUGCAAGCGUUAUCCGGAAUGAUUGGGCGUAAAGCGUCCGCAGGUGGCUGUGUAAGUCUGCUGUUAAAGAGUCUAGCUCAACUAGAUACAAGCAGUGGAAACUACGCGGCUAGAGUACGUUCGGGGCAGAGGGAAUUCCUGGUGUAGCGGUGAAAUGCGUAGAGAUCAGGAAGAACACCAGUGGCGAAGGCGCUCUGCUAGGCCGUAACUGACACUGAGGGACGAAAGCUAGGGGAGCGAAUGGGAUUAGAUACCCUAGUAGUCC
rnacentral:rRNA from 1 species